GACGAACGCUGGCGGCGUGCUUAACACAUGCAAGUCGAACGGGAACCUUUAUUUCGGUAAAGGUGAGAGUGGCAAACGGGUGAGUAACACGUAGGCAACCUGCCGACAGGAUGGGGACAACAUUCCGAAAGGAAUGCUAAUACCGAAUGGAGUCCGAGGAUGGCAUCAUCCUUGGAUAAAAGAUGGCCUCUGAAUAUGCUAUCGCCUGUCGAUGGGCCUGCGUCUGAUUAGCCAGUUGGCGGGGUAACGGCCCACCAAAGCGACGAUCAGUAGCCGGUCUGAGAGGAUGAACGGCCACAUUGGGACUGAGACACGGCCCAGACUCCUACGGGAGGCAGCAGUGGGGAAUCUUCCACAAUGGGCGAAAGCCUGAUGGAGCAACGCCGCGUGAGUGAAGAAGGUCUUCGGAUCGUAAAGCUCUGUUGCACGGGACGAAAAC
rnacentral:rRNA from 1 species